rnacentral:misc_RNA from 1 species
AUUUUAAUAAGAUCUUUAUUGUCAGAGUUUGAUAGAAUUUCUGCUAGUCUUUGACUUGAUUACCUAAGAAAAUUUUUUAUUCUUUCAUUUAGUUAGCAAAAACCUAAUUAAAACAAGUGAUUUUAUUGAUACAAUUCAAAGUUAGUAACUUACCAUGGAUAAAAGUAAGCUGAAUUGAAUUUAUAUGAAUAAUCUUAAAGUUGGAGACUUUCUUCUGUUUCUGGACGCCCAACCAGGAUUAUGUGAAUGAGGAAUAAUGGGUCUCUGGUUAUUUUGGAGGGCCAUGGCCUGUUUCACCAGCAACUUAAUGUCUAAAUUUUAUCACUUUUUCCCACUAAUCUAUGGCGAUUAUUAUUUCGGAAUUUUGUUUCGGAGG